rnacentral:rRNA from 1 species
AAUCUUCCGCAAUGGACGAAAGUCUGACGGAGCAACGCCGCGUGAGUGAAGAAGGNUUNNGGAUUNUNAAGCUCUGUCUUCUGNNNNNAAUGUGCUCCUUGUAAACAAUGAGGAGUAAUGACGGUACCAGAGGAGGAAGCAACGGCUAACUACGUGCCAGCAGCCGCGGUAAUACGUAGGUGGCGAGCGUUGUCCGGAAUUUUUGGGCGUAAAGCGCGCGCAGGCGGGAAGGUAAGUCUGACUUAAAAGUGCGGUGCUUAACGCCGUGAGGGGUCAGAAACUAUCUUUCUUGAGUGCAGGAGAGGACAGUGGAAUUCCCAGUGUAGCGGUGAAAUGCGUAGAUAUUGGGAGGAACACCAGAGGCGAAGGCGACUGUCUGGACUGUGACUGACGCUGAGGCGCGAAAGCCAGGGAAGUGAACGGG